rnacentral:rRNA from 1 species
UGGGGAAUCUUGCACAAUGGGGGAAACCCUGAUGCAGCGACGCCGCGUGAGCGAUGAAGGUUUUCGAAUCGUAAAGCUCUGUCCUAUGGGAAGAUAAUGACGGUACCAUGGGAGGAAGCCCCGGCUAACUACGUGCCAGCAGCCGCGGUAAUACGUAGGGGGCGAGCGUUGUCCGGAAUACUGGGCGUAAAGGGUUCGCAGGCGGCAUGGCAAGUCCGAUGUAAAAGGCGAAGGCUCAACCUUCGUAAGCAUCGGAAACUGUCAAGCUUGAGUGAAGGAGAGGCAAGUGGAAUUCCUAGUGUAGCGGUGGAAUGCGUAGAUAUUAGGAGGAAUACCGGUGGCGAAGGCGACUUGCUGGACUUCAACUGACGCUGAGGAACGAAAGCGUGGGUAGCAAACAGG